rnacentral:lncRNA from 1 species
GGUUCAGCAGUAGCGCAUUUGACUAGCAGAAGCCCUGGCUUCUAUCCUCAUCAGAGCCAGGCCCCUCAGGUAUAUAGGUUUGAAAGGUGGACUUUCGGGUGCUGGAAUAGUCCUGGCUAUUCCAAGUUAGCCACAUUGGUUGCUCUCCUACCUCAGGGUGGAGAGGUCAGCAGUGUCUGUCGCUUCACUGAGGAGCGAACUGGAGGCACUGGGCCCAGUAAAACCGAUUCUGGAGGAGCUGGGACGGCAACUUCAAAACUCCCGAAGGGGACCUGACCAUGUCUUGAACUUGGAUCGUCCUGCCCAAGGUCCCUGUCCUCGAUGUGCCAGCCAGGGGCAGCAGUUAUCCACGGAGUCCCUACAGCAGCUGCUGGAACGUGCGCUGACCCCACUGGUGGACGAAGUGAAGCAGAAGGGUCUGGCUCCUGCCUGCCCCAGUUGCCAGAGGCUACACAAGAAGAUUCUGGAGCUGGAGCGCCAGGCCUUGGCCAAACACGUCAGGGCAGAGGCCCUGAGCUCCACCCUUCGGCUGGCCCAAGACGAAGCCGUUCGGGCCAAGAACCUACUGCUGACGGACAAGAUGAAGCCGGAGUGAGGACGGAGGCAGAGGGCAUGGGAGGAGGGGAGAAGGUGGCCACUUUGGACUAUAUGCAUUUGAAGAUGUGUUCCCUCCACGACCAACUCAGCCACCUGCCACUUGAGGGGUCCACAGGGGCAAUGGGGGGAGGAAGCACUGGAGGGGCUCCCCCUAAACGUGGGGGUCCAGGCUCUGAACAAUAAAUGGCCUCUCAUGCUGGCAUG